UUUAAUCCAGCCAUCAUCUGGUUCAGAAGCAGAGUCCGAUCAUAAAUCCAGUCGGAGAAGGAAAAAAAGUCAUAGCCGUAGCAGAAGUCGUAGCAGAAGCCACAGUCCAACCAGAGAAGAAGGCGAAGUAGAUGAUAAGAAAGGCUGGGAUAGUUCAGAAAGUGACCUGAGUGAAGGUGAACUGGAGAAGAAGAGAAGAAAGUUAUUACAAGAACUGGCAGCACAUUCAUAAAUGUAUAAACUCGUACAUUACUAUGAUCCUCUUGCAAGCCUGACUUCUAAAAAACAAUUGCUACAGCAUUAAAAACAAAUUCUCCAAGUCAAUAUGCUUAGUGAAAAGUGAAGUCUGGAUUUGAAAGCAGUACUUUUUCAUGUCAUAAUAAAAACCGUUUUGACACUUGUUUUCA